UGGACCAAUGAUGACGACUGGCGGAGUAUGAACCAAACAUUAUGAAUAAUACCUGUCAAUACUGAGGUCCAC
rnacentral:snoRNA from 1 species